rnacentral:lncRNA from 1 species
UGUUCAAGCAGUUGGAAUCUGAGCAAACUGCCAUCCAUCUUAUCUGAUUUCUCAAACAAGUCCACCUCUUGCCCAAGGAGCAUCACCAGUAGAAGCUGAAGAGGGAUUUGUGCUGUGUGCUGUGAAGUGUCAUCUGAGCUUAUCAUCAUGUCCAGAACUCAACGAACAAUGUCAAGUAACAAUGAUGAUAGAAGAAUCAGACUCUUGGUUUUUAAA